CGGAGAGCGUGAGCUUAAGCGAAUCCCAAAAUAAACGUCUCAGUUCGGAUUGUAGUCUGCAACUCGACUACAUGAAGCUGGAAUCGCUAGUAAUCGCGGAUCAGCAUGCCGCGGUGAAUACGUUCCCGGGUCUUGUACACACCGCCCGUCACACCAUGGGAGUCGGAAAUGCCCGAAGCCAGCGACCCAAGCGAAACGCAGGGAGCUGUCGAAGGCAGGUCGGAUAACUGGGGUGAAGUCGUAACAAGGUAAC
rnacentral:rRNA from 1 species